AGUGGCGGACGGGUGAGUAACGCGUGGGAAUCUACCUGGUAGCGGGGGAUAACUCGGGGAAACUCGAGCUAAUACCGCAUACGCCCUACGGGGGAAAGGAGGGGAUCUUCGGACCUUUCACUAUCAGAUGAGCCCGCGUUAGAUUAGCUUGUUGGUGAGGUAAUGGCUCACCAAGGCGACGAUCUAUAGCUGGUCUGAGAGGAUGAUCAGCCACACUGGGACUGAGACACGGCCCAGACUCCUACGGGAGGCAGCAGUGGGGAAUAUUGCGCAAUGGGCGAAAGCCUGACGCAGCCAUGCCGCGUGUGUGAAGAAGGCCUUCGGGUUGUAAAGCACUUUCAAUAGGGAGGAAAACUUGUAGGUUAAUACCCUGCAAGCCUGACGUUACCUAUAGAAGAAGCACCGGCUAACUCCGUGCCAGCAGCCGCGGUAAUACGGAGGGUGCGAGCGUUAAUCGGAAUUACUGGGCGUAAAGCGCGCGUAGGCGGCUUCGUCAGUCAGAUGUGAAAGCCCCGGGCUCAACCUGGGAACUGCAUUUGAUACUGCGGAGCUAGAGUAUGGUAGAGGAUAGUGGAAUUCCAGGUGUAGCGGUGAAAUGCGUAGAUAUCUGGAGGAACAUCAGUGGCGAAGGCGACUGUCUGGACCAAUACUGACGCUGAGG
rnacentral:rRNA from 1 species